rnacentral:rRNA from 1 species
GACGAACGCUGGCGGCGUGCUUAACACAUGCAAGUCGAACGGAAAGGCCCUGCUUUUUUGGGGUUCUCGAGUGGCUAACGGGUGAGUAACACGUGAGUGACCUGCCCUUGACUUUGGGAUAACUUCAGGAAACUGGGGCUAAUACCAGAUCGUAGCUUCUCCUGCAUGGUGGGGGUUGGAAACUUUCGGCGGGUUGGGAUGGACUCGCGGCUUAUCAUCUUGCUUGUGGGGUAGUGGUUUACCAAGGCUUUGCCGGGUCGCCGGCCUGGGAGGGUGACCGGCGACCAUGGGACUGAGGUAGGCACCAGACUGCUACAGUGGGCAGAAGUGGGGAGUAUUGCGCAGUGGGCGGAAGCGUGAGGAAGCAACGUCGCGUGCGGGAUGAACGCCUAGGGGUGGGAAACGGAGUAAGGCUGAUACGAAGCGUGAGUGACGGUAAUCGGUAAAGAAGCACCGGCUAACUACGUG